GACAUUGCUUUUGCUAAUUCGAAUUGAAGGGUGAUAUAAAAUCGGUCUAUUUCUGGCAUCAUAUCCAUAGUUAGCGCAUUCAUCCUAGUUAGAAACUCCAGCUCCGUAUCAAAGUCACGGUCGAUAUCGUCACUCACAUCAAUAUCGUCACUAUCAUCAAUAUCGUCACUAUCAUCAAUAAGAAAACCCUUAGGCUUGUUAUCCAGGAACUUGUUCAGAAAUACUGUAAUGAAAGGAAGAUAGGAGUUUGUCACUAGGUAUUUGACCAAAUAGGAUCAUCCAGUCCCUAUAGAACCUAUCACUAAAAUACCCCUAGAGGGAGAUAGGGCUAAGCGAAAAGGGUUUUCCAUGAGAUGGGAAAUGAAAACUAUUCACCCCACACGAGGUUUGUGAAUAAGUGGUUGUCUGAUAAUAAGCAAGGAAUAUCUGUCUUUCUGCUAAACAGGGUGCAUUGAACUCAUAAUUCAUUAGAUACUUUUUAUCAAUGUCAACUAAGUAUCGUAAAUAAAUUGCUCCCGGCUCUUCAAUCACUUGAUAACCAGAGUCAUUCUUUGAUAAAUGAUCACUAUGAGUCAGACUCAAUAGAAUUUGAUCAAUCCUUUUUUCUAUCGUUAAGGUGGAGAACUAAACCAAGAAUUCUCUUUCUUUAUCAUCAAUCGAAUCAUUAUUCGCAACCAAGGAAUUCUCCUUUUGGGGCUUUGACUCUCAUAUAAAGUUCUUGUUUCGGUAAUUCAAAAGUAGGAGAAGUUUUUUUUACUAAUGAAUCGAUAUUCGAAAUCGUUCCAUUCUGGAUCCCUUUCAAAACGUCAGGUUUCUAAAUUCUCAUAGGCCCCCCCGGGAUUCCUUCCAGAGCCUGUUGAAUAAUUUUUAUAGAUUCCAUCAUUUCACCGAUUCGGACUAAAUAACGAGCUAAUGAAUCUCCUUCUUUUUGCCACUGGACUUCCCAAUCAAAUUCGUCGUAACACUCAUAAUGAUCAACUUGACGAAGAUCCCAUUGUACUCCGGAAGCUCGUAGCAUUGGUCCGGAUAAACCCCAAUUUAUUGCUUCCUCUGCACCAACAAUACCUACUCCUUCAACUCGUUCUAAAAAAAAUAGGAUUUCGUGUAAUAAAUUUUUGAUAUUCAGCAAUUCCUGUUAAAAAAUAAUUGCAAAAAUCCAAACAUUUAUCUAUCCAUCCAUGAGGUAGAUCGGCCGCUACUCCCCCGAUACGAAAAUAAUUAUGCAUCAUUCUCAUACCGGUGGCAGCUUCGAAUAAAUCAUAUACUAACUCUCUUUCUCUAAAAUUAUAAAAGAAAGGAGUCUGUGCACCAAUAUCCGCCAUAAACGGACCAAGCCAUAACAAAUGAGAAGCUAUACGACUCAAUUCCAACAUAAUUACUCUGAUAUAGCUAGCUCUUUUAGGCACUUGAAUAUUUCCUAACAAUUUUGGACCAUUUACUGUUAUUGCUUCUGUGAACAUAGUAGCCAAAUAAUCCCAGCAUGUUACAUAGGGCAAAUAUUGUAUAAUUGUUCGAUUUUCCGCAAUUUUUUCCAUCCCUCUGUGUAAAUAACCUAAAAUUGGUUCGCAGUCAAUAACAUCUUCACCGUCUAGAGUAACGAUGAGUCGAAGAACACCAUGCAUUGAUGGGUGGUGGGGACCCAUAUUGACUAUCAUAAGGUCUUUUCGCGUAGCUGAUACAUUCAUAGGGGUUUCCUCGAUCCAUUUUUUCAUGAAUUACUGAAAGAAAAAAGAAGUUCAUAUUAAGAUUUAAGAAAUCAAAUAAUUCAAAAAAACUCUUCACAUUAACGAGUUUUUGACUCCCGAAUAUCCAACCGGCUAAUUACUUCUUUAUAACGUACUCUAUUUUUCUUUGCUAAAUAAGACAGCAGUCGUUGCCGUUUUCCUAGAAUUUUUUGCAAACCUCUCUGAGAUAAAUAGUCUUUUUUAUGCAAUUCCAAAUGUGAAGUAAGUCUUCGUAUCUUAUUAGUGAAACUUACUAUUUGAAAUUCAAUAGAUCCUUUGUUUUCGUCUUUUUCUUCUUGUGAAAUAACUGAAAUGAAUGAAUUUUUUACCAUAAAAUAACCUACCUUUUUUUAAUUAAGAUUAAGAUGUUUUUAUUUUUAUUGAUCAGUAAUAAUAAAAAAAAUCAAUAUUGUAUUAAUAAAUAAUUAUAAAUAAUAAUGUUAGUUCAUUUGAAUUUGAUAUACACAAAAAUCUUUACUUUGUUAGUAAUUGAAGUUACUAAUUCAAAAUUUUGUCAAAUAAAAUGGCAAAUUUCUCAUUAAUCAAUCCAAUUUUUUAUUUUUUUAUAAUUUUUUUAUUCGGUUAUAGAUACAAAAAGAUGAUAUAUUUCUUCGCUUACAAAAGAGAACAAAAUUCUACCUAAAAUGAAAAGUCAAAAAAUGUCGUUGAUUCAUUUCUAGAUCAAGUAUCCUAUGGGAUAUAGGAAAAAUGCACCCUUACCAUUAUAAAAUUUCAACCGCGGAUAGAUACAUAUCCUUACCAUACCGAACCGGCUGGAAUUAUUAGUGUCGAACCAAUAACGAUUCAUACAAGCUAAAUCUUCUAAUCGAAAAUGGGGCCAAAGAAAAAAUUUGAAUUUAAUUAGUUUAUUUUUCUCUUUAUCAAAAUCUUUGCUUUUAUAAAAAACGGGACCACAGUUUUUUUUGUUAUUACUAGUGCAAAUUUUGGUAUUUAUAGAAAUAUUGUUUUUAUUUUUUAAAUUGAAAGAAAUUAGAAUUCUUAAUUCUCUAUGACGUUUCGGAGAUAAAACAUUUUUGGGAACAAGUAAAUCAUAACCAUUUUUGUCUCUAUUUCCAAUUAUACCUCGCUGCCUUUCAAUAGAAAUAGAAUCGAUUUUAUCUCUGUAUUGUUGAUUUAUUUGUUGUUUGUUCUUAUGAAAUAAUAAGAUACUUAUGGUUUGAUACAAAAGAAAUUGUCCAUCUUAACCAUUCCAUCUUAAAUGAAAAUAUAAAUAUCGUUUUAGAAAGAAAUCAAGUUCUACUUCUGUAUGACUUAUUUUUCUUUUUAUGUCUAUGUUUUUUCAUAUCUAAUUCCAUAUAAUCUUUUUCAAUAUCUUUUUUUUUAUUGGAUGAAUUGAUUUCUUGAUCUUGGUGAAUUGUAAUAAAAAAAUUCUUUUUUUAUCAAUUUUCUCAAUUAUUUGAUACUUAGUACUUAGUAUUUUUUUUUAUGUUCGCUUCCGGUAUCGAUCCAGGAUUCAAUCUCGACCUUCUCUCUAAGACAAAAAUUGAGAAUUUUCCAAUCAAAAUAAUUUCUAUCUGGGCUUUUCGCCAUAUCGAUAAUAUCAUCUUCCGCUAGAUAAUUAUUGAUAGGAAUACCUUCUAACAUGUCGAAAAAGUUACUUUUAUUUGUGUUGUAAUUAUAAGAAAUCUUUUGUUUAUUAUUUAUUUAUAAUGGUGAUCCAUAAAUAUAUGAGUCCUUCUUAUUUUCAUAAUUAAUAGAUUUAUAUGAUAAAAGAUUAUAUUUAUAGUGUUUUUUAAAAUUAUCUUUUUGAUUCGGUAAUGAGUCUGCCUCAAAAUCCUUUUUUUUUCGUAAUGAAUUAAUUUGUCUUUUUCAUAUAAAUUUCAUUUGUUUAAUUUUUUGUUUUGAACCAUAGGGUGUUGGUAUUGAUUGAUUCUAUUUCGCCAUUUUUGUGAUAUUAAUCUAGACCAUCUAAUCUAAGAUAAAUCGUAUUUAUGUUGAUAAUGACUCCUUAACCAGUUUUUCCAUUGAUUCAUUACGGAAUUUCUAACAUUUUUUUCUUUUAAUUCGAAAUUAAAUAGCCCUUGGACUCUAAAAUAAUCCUUUAUUUCAUUCUUUAAAAAAAGUCCAUGAUAUUGAAGGAUAGAUCUUAACUUAUAUAAGUUAAUAAUUUUGAUUUGUGAUAAUUUGUAAAAUACAUAUGCUUGUGACAAGGAGGAUAUGUCGCAAAGAAUCUGUGAAUUCUUAUUAAUAACAUCAAUAUUGCUAUUAUUAAGUGACUUUUUGAUAUUUAUAAUCGAAAUAAAGUGAAUUAUGUUUUGAUUUGUUUUAUCAAUUCUUUUUUAUUUUCUUCAUUAUUGUAAAUGUAUUUAGUAACAAUUUUUUUUUGUUGAUUCAAGAAAAAGCUGUGCAUUGAUCCUCGAAAUAUUAAUGAUACCUAAAAAGAUAUCUAUGUAUAUUGAUAAGCAUAGUUUUACACAUAUUUGCUUGCAUAUUAUUGCGUAUGUUCUUAGCAAUUAUUGUGCUUUUAUUCCCAGAUCACCCGUGUUUUGUGUUCUUUUGCAUUUUAGGAACAUUUAUAGGACCAUCAUCGUUGUUUAAGUAAUUAUAGAUCAAUACGUGCGGAAACGAACGAGAAUUCAUCAAGAUCGGACAAGAGCCCGCAAUGCAUACAUUGAGCACGGCCUGGACUCUGGCCGUGCUCAACCAUUGGCUUUGAUUCUUGAAAUUAGCACUUUGGGCACGGUUUCCGUAGCCACCACGGCCUUCAGCACGGCCCGUGGUGGAUAACACGGGGAGCAACACGGCCCGUGGUGGCCAACACGGGGAGAAACACGGCCGUGGUGAAACCCUACUUGGUGAGAUCCACAGUUUCAGCACGGCCUGGACUUCGGCCGUGCUGACCAGCACGGCCUUGAACACGGCCGUGCUGAGUUAAAUAUAUAAGAAAAAAAUGAGUUUUUCUUAAGAAAAAGGGGGAAGGAGAAAGAGUGACAUUGAGCCCUAGUGGCUGGUUCGGUUUCUGCACAAUACUGAGUGCGAGAGAGAGUUGCAGUGAGUAAGAAUCCCGGAAUCAUAAGAUUCCGAGUGCAAAACAGUAGUGGAGCAAUUCAAGAGGCAGUUUAGGAGAUUAAUCAAAGUGCAGAUCCAGAUUUGGAGCUGUUCAUCCAAUUCGAGAGAAAAGGGUGUACAUGUUUUAUUUUCAUUAUUCUUUCAUUGUAAUUGAUUUCCUAGAUUGUUUUAAACAUGAACAUGUUUAGCUAGACUGAUUUAAUCCAUUGGGAUUUCUUUACUAUGUUGGCUUGAUAUUAUAUUGUUGGAUUGUUUGAGUUGGUUUUGUAUUCUUCUUGUUUUCAGUAUGAAUAAGAUUAUGCAUUAUUCAUGAGACGUUGUGAAUUGUGAUGUUUAGAUUGCUUUAUGAGAUUGAGAAAUCCGUUUGGCAAUUGGAACUUUGAAUAACAAGAACUGGUUAAUAAUCGCUUAGAGAUAAGGAUAAUUAACUAGCCGGAUUAAGAAUUAACAAAGCUUAAUAGAGGCGGAUUAAAGCUUAAUGCUAAUUUAAGAAUCAAUUGUUAGGAAGAGAUUCCAACUUUAGGUUAUUAGGUUUAGGAAUUCGGUUAUCUCGAGAAGAGAAACCGAAUUCGGUUAAGAAUUCGUCCACGGGUAGCAUAAUUAGACUCACUGAUCCUUUAUCUUUUGUUCGGAUGCCAACUAGUUUAGAUUCCCUUUGGGUUUGUCUUCUUGUCUUGAUUAUUUCAGUUAUCAAUUACUCCUGCAUCUCCCUUAGAACUUAGCUCGUAGUUAAUAGUUAGUUUAGAAUUUAUUCAUCAUCCAUUUUAGGUUAAUAUAACAAAGAACAAAGAAGUAACUCUGGGCUUUCGCUUUUCCGAGGAAUACGACCUUGAUACUCGCCAUUAGUGCUAGACUGCAUCGAUAGGUACACUGCCUUAGAUUGUAGCUAACACGAGUAGCAACCAUCAUAUAUCCUUUCAAUCAAAAUUUUUAUAAAAAAAUGAAAUUUAUACGCUAAUUGCGCAUUUCUUUUUUUUAAUAUUUGUGAAAUAUUUUUUGAUGAUUUUAAUUUUAAAGUUUUAACAUUAUAACUUAUUUUGUUAGGACUAAUAUUUAUCUCCGAGGUUAUAAUUUGUUUUCCUUUUCUUUUGAAAUUUUUUCUAUUUGAUUUAAGAUUAUCUUUCGUCUAGCAGAAAGAUCUUUCAUUUUUUUUCUGUCAGUGAAAAAUUUAUCCAAACCAUAGAUCGCGUUGAGGUGGACAUUUUCUGACUCGCCCGAUUAUUCUUAUUGAUUAGCGAAUCUUUUUCUUUUUAGUUGCAUUCAAUUCAUAUACUUCUUUAACUCCAGAUAAUAAAAUUCAGUUUCUUUUUGAUUUUUCAAAUUUGUUUAUUUUGUUUAUUAUAUCUUUUCGAAAAAAAGAGUUUUGGAUGACCCAAUUUGCUUUUUCUUUUGAUAAAUUUAGAAAUAAUUUUCUUCUUUCUUCUAAAGUUCUUCUAAUUCGAAAACUCUUUUUUUUUUUCAUUUUUCUAAUUUUUUUUUCAAGUUUUUUAAAGAUGGGUUCAAAAAGUGAAACUUCGGGGAAAACCAAAAGGCAGUUCAACCUCCAUCCCCAAAACUGUUAAAAAACAAAAAUCAUUUCUUUGUACUUUCUUUUUCAUUGGAUCUUUAUGAGGGAAUUUUAACUUAGAUCUGUGCUAAGGUUUUAGACGAAAAGGAAAUAGGAUCUUUAUUUGAAUCCCGUCUGUUAACCAGUUUUUCAGAAAUUCUUUUUUUGAUAAUUGAACUCCAUUAUAAGUGCAUUUAAUAUGCAUUUCUCUACUCCAAUCCUUUAAAUCCUCCGACCAUUCGGGAAUUUGAAAAAAUAGUAUACGAAUGCAAUUUUUAGCUAUUAUUAAUAAAGGUAAUAUAAUAUAUUUUAUUAUUUGAGCAAAAAGAAUGCUAUCCCAGGCUUCAGCUAUUUCUAUCCGAGUUCUUUCCUCUCUUUUGUUGUCUUCUCUUGUGUCUUCGUCUUUUUUCUUACUUUCUUUUAUUUUUUUCUCUGUAUAAGUAUAAUCUGAAAUUGUGAAUUCUGCAUUUUUACACAUCCAAUUUAUAAACAUUGUUUUUAUCAGUUCGAAAAUAUAAAAAAAAAAAAAGAGAUUUGUCUAUUCUGUCCAAAAAAAGGGGCGAAUGCGCAUUUGCUUAAAACAGUUCAAAAAUAGCUAUUUUGCGUCUUUGUGCUCGCGUGGAUCCUUUUAUUAUGUCUCGACAAAAGUCUGAUUGUUGCGAAUAACGGAUCAAAGUAACUUCAUUUAUUUGGUCAAAAUCUGUCGUAUCUUUGGUAUUAUUAUAAGUAGCUGUAUUUUCUUGAUUAUCGGUAAAAAUUACUACACGUUUGGCUUUUCGUGAACGAAUUUCAUAAUCUUCCACUAUGUUUUCUUCAUUUUCUCCCUCUUAUUGUUCCAAAUCGUCAAUUAAUUUGUAUGACCAAUGAGGAACUUGUUUAUUUAUUUCUUUUAUUCCAAGAGAAUUAUUUUUAAUUGUUUUAUUUUUUGAAUUUGCUAGAACUGGAUCAAAUACAAAUUUUAGAAUUUGUAAGAGUUCUAAAUCCAUUUUUUCUUCUUUGUAAUCUGGAAAUAAAGGGAGUCCUUUAAAAUUGAAACUUGAUGUCAAUUUUCCGGCAAAUUCAUUAAUUAAGUUUAAGAAAUAAGCAAUUUCUGUUGAAAAUGAUUUUCUAUCUGUUUUUGGUUCAAAUUCUAUAUAAUUACUAAUAUUUGAAAUGGUACAGAAAAAGAUUUUUUGUUCACAACAACAACAAAGAAACUCU
rnacentral:lncRNA from 1 species